GGAUCAGUACGCUGGUCGUGCCUUUGGUAUGUACUGGUGUCACUGAUUCCUCCCUUCUGAAGAACCGUCAUGCCAUUAAUUUAGUGUGACGGGGAAUCAGGACUGUUACUUUGAAAAAAUUAGAGUGUUUAAAGCAGGCAUUAGCUUGAAUACAUUAGCAUGGAAUAAUGAAAUAGGACGUUUGAUCCUAUUUUGUUGGUUUCUAGGAUUGACGUA
rnacentral:rRNA from 1 species